rnacentral:misc_RNA from 1 species
UGGGAGGAAGGUUUUUUAAAGGAGACAAGGUUUUCAGAGGUUUUAAAACCUCCAAAACCUUCACCUUUUUAACCCACUAAAUUGGUGGGUUGGAAGCUUUUACUACUUUACACUGUUUUCUUAAUUUUUUUGCAUUCCUUUCUUUAUCAAAUACCACGAAUAGAAAUGGUUAAUUUUCAGUUAUUUCACAUGUUUCAUCAGAUUCAACUCCAUUGCUUUUCAGCAGUCUCAUACCUUCUCCAAUAAAACGCUCAUAGAAAAUGCAUAACUAUAACUAAGCAUCCGCUCAAAUGGCACCAAGGCCGCCAAAGCUAAUCCUUAACUAGAAGUUCCAAUUCAACGCAUAAGUUGCCCAGAGAAAAAAACAUCAUUCGAGCAAACUAUCAAACAACUAAUCCACAAACAGUGAUCAUGAGCUUCAAGCCAACCAAUGACAGGAAUUAAAAUCCAAACCAAAGUUAUCAGAACAUAAUUCCAUGUUAAACCCUGAAAAGCUUCAACAACAUCUUAAGAGAAAUAUCCGAAAAUGUAUAGCUGAGAACUUUAACAUGGAAAAAUAAGUACCAACUUCACAAUAAUCACGAAACCCAAUUGAGAAUUGAGCCAAACUUGAAUAAUGAGAUUGAAAUUACGCAUAAG